rnacentral:rRNA from 1 species
GCCCCGGUAAACGGCGGCCGUAACUAUAACGGUCCUAAGGUAGCGAAAUUCCUUGUCGGGUAAGUUCCGACCUGCACGAAUGGCGUAAUGAUGGCCAGGCUGUCUCCACCCGAGACUCAGUGAAAUUGAACUCGCUGUGAAGAUGCAGUGUACCCGCGGCAAGACGGAAAGACCCCGUGAACCUUUACUAUAGCUUGACACUGAACAUUGAGCCUUGAUGUGUAGGAUAGGUGGGAGGCUUUGAAGUGUGGACGCCAGUCUGCAUGGAGCCGACCUUGAAAUACCACCCUUUAAUGUUUGAUGUUCUAACGUUGGCCCCUAAUCGGGGUUGCGGACAGUGUCUGGUGGGUAGUUUGACUGGGGCGGUCUCCUCCUAAAGAGUAACGGAGGAGCACGAAGGUUGGCUAAUCCUGGUCGGACAUCAGGAGGUUAGUGCAAUGGCAUAAGCCAGCUUGACUGCGAGCGUGACGGCGCGAGCAGGUGCGAAAGCAGGUCAUAGUGAUCCGGUGGUUCUGAAUGGAAGGGCCAUCGCUCAACGGAUAAAAGGUACUCCGGGGAUAACAGGCUGAUACCGCCCAAGAGUUCAUAUCGACGGCGGUGUUUGGCACCUCGAUGUCGGCUCAUCACAUCCUGGGGCUGAAGUAGGUCCCAAGGGUAUGGCUGUUCGCCAUUUAAAGUGGUACGCGAGCUGGGUUUAGAACGUCGUGAGACAGUUCGGUCCCUAUCUGCCGUGGGCGCUGGAGAACUGAGGGGGGCUGCUCCUAGUACGAGAGGACCGGAGUGGACGCAUCACUGGUGUUCGGGUUGUCAUGCCAAUGGCACUGCCCGGUAGCUAAAUGCGGAAGAGAUAAGUGCUGAAAGCAUCUAAGCACGAAACUUGCCCCGAGAUGAGUUCUCCCUGACUCCCUGAGAGUCCUGAAGGAACGUUGAAGACGACGACGUUGAUAGGCCGGGUGUGUAAGCGCAGCGAUGCGUUGAGCUAACCGGUACUAAUGAACCGUGAGG